GUGAGGAAUAUUCCGCAAUGGGGGAAACCCUGACGGAGCAAUGCCGCGUGCAGGAUGAAGGCCCUCGGGUCGUAAACUGCUUUUAUAUGAGAAGAAUAUGACGGUAACAUAUGAAUAAGGGACGGCUAACUACGUGCCAGCAGCCGCGGUCAUACGUAGGUCCCAAGCGUUAUCCGGAGUGACUGGGCGUAAAGAGUUGCGUAGGCGGCUCGUUAAGCGUGAAAUGAAAUUUAUCGGCUCAACCGGUAAACUAUUUCGCGAACUGACGGGCUCGAGAGUAUGAGAGGUUACUGGAAUUUCUAGUGUAGCAGUGAAAUGCGUAGAUAUUAGAAAGAACACCAACGGCGUAGGCAGGUAACUGGCAUACAUCUGACGCUGAGGCACGAAAGCGUGGGGAGCGAACCGGAUUAGAAACCCUGGUAGUCC
rnacentral:rRNA from 1 species